rnacentral:lncRNA from 1 species
UCAUACAUGUGAACCUCCCGACGGGAGUACAAAACUCCCGUUUUCAGGGGUCCCCUCCCGUCCUCCCGUCGAAGAGAAAAAAAUCCCGUGUAGAAAAAAUUUCAUGAAUGAUAAUUUUCAGUCGCCAUUUUUACUAUUUUGUUUACAAAAUUUAUCAUUGAGAUUGUAAAAACCCGAGAUUUUUUAAGUCGUAAAAACAGGAGGUUUAUCGAACGUAUCCGGUGUAACUGACAUUACCUGAUUACGCAACAUGUGGAGAUUUUAUUUCUCGCUAAAGGCUAAUUAACAAGUGAUAAUAGUUUGAUUGAACAAUCAUAAGGUGUUUGUAUAUCAAUUACUCGAUGUGGCUUCUGUUUAUGGCACACGCCAAGGAUGAUUAAAGGCAAAUACCGAUAAAUACCGGCAUUGAUGGAAAAUGGAAUGUUGUUGUCCAAAAAUUUAUCGGAAGUUUUUUGAUGCCAAGAAAAACACUUAUUGUAUAUGAAAAUCUCGAGAUGAAAAUACUGGAAAAAGGAAUGGUUUCAGCUCAAUGUGAGCUGUUUGCUACACAAGCUGACUGAAAAAUUAUAUAAGCAAAUUCAUUAUUUUGUACACCAUUAUGUGUUCAAAAUGCCAAAACGACAGUUAUCUCCGUCUUCAAAGACACCAGUUUCAAAACAACAGAAAUAUUUGACAAAGAUCAACAAUGUUUGUUAAUUUAUUAUUUAUUUAUUAUGUAAUAAAUGUAUAGCAUAAAUCUCUCUUAUAUCUCAAGCCAAUGCCAAUGAAAAACAAAUAAAAAAAGAUUCUCAUCAGCAAUCAACAAUGUAAAACAAAAGAAAAAAAUAUUCUCAUCGUAAAAUAAAAGAAAAAAAGAUUCUUCUCAAUUAUUCCUUAAUAUAUGCAGACUUUAACUAAUGCCAUUCACAAGGAAGAUUGAAGAAAAAAAAAACAUCAUACGGUUAGUUUUACGACGAAAAAUAUGUCGAUAAAAAACCUCCUGAUCUGAGGUCCAACCUCCUGACCAAAAUUUCCAAAUCUCCUGAUCUGAAUUUUACAGUCCAUCACAUGUAUGA